GAAGCUGGAUAGAGCAACGGCCUUCUAAGCCGUCGGUCGGGAGUUCGAAUCUCUCC
rnacentral:tRNA from 1 species